rnacentral:lncRNA from 1 species
CUGACUUCAAGGUACUUUAACAAAUACUGUAAAAGAAAACCUAAUUUUAGCUGCUGUACAUGCUUCAGUAAAAAAGUGUUUGGCCGUUUUCAGUAAAGUACUUUAACAAGUACUUGUUAAAUUAAAAAAAAAAAUGAGCCCCAUACUAUGACUCCUGAAUCCGUUUUCUGAAUUAAGCUUUACCAAAUCACCAAAGAAGACCCCUAAAUUUAGGAUCUUUCUUUUAUCCAAGAACACCAAUCUGCGAAGGAACAAUAUUGCAGAAAAUAGGAUUCUUAGAAGAGCAAUUAGCAUCAAAACUACUCGGAUCAGAAGGAAUCAAACCAGGCCUUUCAUGAUCAGCGAAACCCUGAACUAAGGAAGCACCCGCCUUAAAACCCUCAAUUGAAGAAGCACUCGGAGGAGCAGAAUUAGAGGCCAAAACUGGAUCAGAUUUCUGCAAAAAGGCAUAAAGCAAUCGUCCAUCAUCAGAUUCCCUUCCCCGAAGAGCAAGAUCAAUCAAGAGUCAAAUCAUAAAUAUUUCCCGCCUUCCGUCCAGCCCUCCACCCGGGAAUU